ACCUCGAGAACUGGCACGACAUUUUUACAUUUGAGCUGGACUUAGUGUUAGAGAGAGAGAGAGAGCAAAAAUCCAAAAACUCUCACACUCCCGCCUAAUGCUCCCGCUCAGAACCUUUUUGAGAGAGAAAUCGAUUCAGAAAUGCGUCUGACAAAGAACGAAAAGGCAUUAAUCGGUGGAGGGCGACAAACACAGUUAAAGGCUUAGCCACAAUUCUACUACAUAGGAGAAAAUCCGUAUCAAGCUGGAGAAAUCCCCCCAACUGCCCUUAUUGACGAUCCAAAAGGGAUUCCUUUGUAGCAAACCAUCUUCAAAGAUACAGCUUCUCCCUUCACCUACAUCUACUGUGGGACCUCUUGCGUCACCCCCAUUAGGUUGCCAAUCUAGUGACUCUUCAAGGAGAAAACCAGCCAUUUGUAUAUGUUUCAAUUACUAAAGCAGACUUUUGGCAGAUCUAUUAGUACAACUAGAAACACUGUUGAUGGUCAGCAUUGCUCUCUUUGCAGGAGAUUGAAUACGAAAUUCAGAUAUUAAGAAUUCUAUUUUUCUAUAGUGCGGUCCUGAACUUUUUCUCGGUUUAUUAAGCACAUCCAUUUUCUA